rnacentral:rRNA from 1 species
UACGUAGGGGGCAAGCGUUAUCCGGAAUUACUGGGCGUAAAGGGUGCGUAGGUGGCCUGACAAGUCAGGGGUCAAAGGCAACGGCUCAACCGUUGUAAGCCCUUGAAACUGUCGGGCUUGAGUUCAGGAGAGGAAAGCGGAAUUCCAAGUGUAGCGGUGAAAUGCGUAGAUAUUUGGAGGAACACCAGUGGCGAAGGCGGCUUUCUGGACUGAUACUGACACUGAGGCACGAAAGCGUGGGGAGCAAACAGGAUUAGAUACCCUGGUAGUCCACGCCGUAAACGAUGAGUACUAGGUGUUGGCCCUAAGGGUCGGUGCCGCAGUUAACACAUUAAGUACUCCGCCUGGGAAGUACGCUCGCAAGAGUGAA